ensembl:lncRNA novel transcript
AGUGCAAUCUUCGGUUGCCUGGACUAGCGCUCCGGUUUUUCUGUGCUGAACCUCAGGGGACGCCGACACACGUACACGUCCCUUCGAUAGCUCAGCUGGUAGAGCGGAGGACUGUAGCUACUUCCUCAGCAGGAGACAUCCUUAGGUCGCUGGUUCGAUUCCGGCUCGAAGGAGACAAGUGCGGUUUUUUUCUCCAGCUCCCGAUGACUUAUGGCACUUUCCUUGGGUGCCUUCAGUGACACAUUGCAUUCCAACGAGCAGUUUGAAAGUCUAGCGCUUUCUCCCCAUUUUGGGCCUCCCAGCCUGCACGGGACUCAUCUGAGGCUAAGCUGCCCAUAGUUCGGGGAGACCCACAGGGAAAACAAAACAAGAAACAGAGAACUUGGAAACGGACGCUGAUUACUUUGAACGUUUGCUCAACCGAGGAAGCAGGAACUGUUCGGCCCCAUCUCAAGUCCGCAGGGCGGACUGCCUGGCUCUGGGCAGAUCCGAGGUGGAUAGGACAAGGCAAAAGGUAGCCCUGGAGAGCUGUACUCUCCAUCUAACCAUAAGUUCUUUGUUCUGUUUGAUGAACAAAUGGCUCCUUAAACUAAGCCUGGAUUAUUUUCAAGUACCUGGACUUGCAAUUACCUGCACCAAAGAGACAAAAGAGAACAUGGUUUCAGAGCUGCACUGUGCACAUUCCAAGUACUCAAGAACCACAAGUGACUAGAGAUUGGACACUACAGAUAUAGAACAUUUCCAUCAUUAGCGGAAAUUCUUAUGGACAGUGCCCUUCUAAAGCAUGGGUGUGGUGCAGCUUAGUGGGUGAGGUCAUGGGCUCUGUGCUCAAAAGAUGUGUCUCUCAGUGUGCAUCACAGUUCAGCAGCCACGUGACUCAGGGCAACUACUUAACUUGCUCAGCCACAGUUGACUCAGUGGAGAUAAUAAUACCUGAGACAGGGAGCUGUGACAUGAAGUAAUGGGUAUUCAGUACAUAUUUAUCAUAUUUGUUGUAGUGGUAUAAUAGUAAAAAUAA